GACGAACGCUGGCGGCGUGCUUAACACAUGCAAGUCGAACGGAAAGGCCCUGCUUUUGUGGGGUGCUCGAGUGGCGAACGGGUGAGUAACACGUGAGUAACCUGCCCUUGACUUUGGGAUAACUUCAGGAAACUGGGGCUAAUACCGGAUAGGAGCUCCUGCUGCAUGGUGGGGGUUGGAAAGUUUCGGCGGUUGGGGAUGGACUCGCGGCUUAUCAGCUUGUUGGUGGGGUAGUGGCUUACCAAGGCUUUGACGGGUAGCCGGCCUGAGAGGGUGACCGGGACCGGUGGGGCGGGGGGACCGCCCAGCAUGGGGGGGGGGGCGGCAGGGGGAAAUAUGGCGCGAGGGGCGGGAGGCUGAUGCCGGACGGCGGCGUGGGGGCGGACGGGCUUCGGGUGGGCGACCGCUUUCGGCGGUGAGGAGGGGUGAGCGACGGGAAGGGGAAAAGAAGCACCGGCUAAAGACGGGCCAGCAGCCGGGAUAAUAAUCGGAAGAGCACACGCCUAAAU
rnacentral:rRNA from 1 species